UACAGAGGUCUCAAGCGUUGUUCGGAUUCAUUGGGCGUAAAGGGUGCGUAGGCGGCGCGGUAAGUCGGGUGUGAAAUCUCGGAGCUUAACUCCGAAACUGCAUUCGAUACUGCCGUACUUGAGGACUGGAGAGGAGACUGGAAUUUACGGUGUAGCGGUGAAAUGCGUAGAUAUCGUAAGGAAGACCAGUGGCGAAGGCGGGUCUCUGGACAGUUCCUGACGCUGAGGCGCGAAAGCUAGGGGAGCAAACGGG
rnacentral:rRNA from 1 species